rnacentral:snRNA from 1 species
GGAUGUGAGGGUGAUCUGGCUGUGACAUCUGUCACCCCAUUGAUAGCCAGGGUUGAUUUGGCUGAUCUGGCCGGCGAGGUGGGUGUCCCCUUCCUCCCUCACUGCUCCAUGUGCAUCCCUCUGGAAGCUGUGGGCUUGGUUGAAGAGGAUGACCUUCCCCGAAUAGAAUAGGACCAGUCCUCUGUCAAGGGUAUACAAGUAGCUGUACUCCCCUGCUAGAACCUCCAAACAAGCUCUCAAAUGAAACAGGAUGCUUUGUUAGACAUACACUUAGUUUUAAGUUCAGUGCUCCUUGGGGGGAAAAAAUCUU